rnacentral:tRNA from 1 species
GCUUCAGUGGUCCAACGGUAGGAUAAUUGCCUUCCAAGCAAUUGGUUCGGGUUCGACUCCCGGCUGAUGCA